rnacentral:rRNA from 1 species
UGGAGCAUGUGGUUUAAUUCGAAGCAACGCGAAGAACCUUACCAGGUCUUGACAUCCUCUGACAACUCUGGAGACAGAGCGUUCCCCUUCGGGGGACAGAGUGACAGGUGGUGCAUGGUUGUCGUCAGCUCGUGUCGUGAGAUGUUGGGUUAAGUCCCGCAACGAGCGCAACCCUUGUCAUUAGUUGCUACAUUCAGUUGGGCACUCUAAUGAGACUGCCGGUGACAAACCGGAGGAAGGUGGGGAUGACGUCAAGUCCUCAUGGCCCUUAUAGGUGGGGCUACACACGUCAUACAAUGGCUGGUACAAAGGGUUGCCAACCCGCGAGGGGGAGCUAAUCCCAUAAAACCAGUCGUAGUCCGGAUCGCAGUCUGCAACUCGACUGCGUGAAGUCGGAAUCGCUAGUAAUCGUGGAUCAGAAUGUCA